CAGCCGCCACGGUAAUACGUAGGGUGCAAGCGUUAAUCGGAAUUACUGGGCGUAAAGCGUGCGCAGGCGGUGUUGUAAGACUGAUGUGAAAUCCCCGGGCUUAACCUGGGAACUGCAUUUGAAACUGGCAGGCUAGAGUCUUGUAGAGGGGGGUAGAAUUCCAGGUGUAGCGGUGAAAUGCGUAGAGGUCUGGAGGAAUACCGGUGGCGAAGGCGACCACCUGGACUGAUACUGACACUGAGGUGCGAAAGCGUGGGGAGCAAACAGGAUUAGAUACCCCAGUAGUCCCUGUCUCUUAUAC
rnacentral:rRNA from 1 species